CUCACUAUGAACUACACACACCACUCUGUGUCCUCUUCUAGUGAGUUGAAUCUUUUGAAGGAUUAAUUUCAAUGUUUCAAUUUAUAUCAUAUGCUCUUUGGGUUGCUGGUUGCUACAUUUGACAUUUUAAUUGUGUUUUGGUUGAAUCAAUAUUGUUGAUAAGCUCAUUGAACUUUUUAGGAGUUUUUAAGUGUCAUUGAGCUUUUGAAUGUCAUUGAUUGAUUCUGCAUAGAAAUUUUGUUAUAUGUAGUCUGGGUUGCUGCAUUCUAUUCUAGUUGAUUGAAUUGAUUUUGUUGCUCAAACAGUGUAAAUGGUUAAAUUGGGGUGUUUUCUUUUUUUUUUUUUGAGAGGUGGGAUUUAAAAUUUGUGGACUUGUGCUUGCCUAUGAUUUCAUCUGAAACCAAUGGGAGUUGGGUCUAACAGAAGGGCUAGUCCCUCACAGCAUGGUGAACCAAGGUCCAAAUCGCUACUACGAGAGAUGUUGCAUACUGAAUUACACAAGUUAUGCCUAAGGCCUAAAAUAAGCCUUGAAGCACACUGGGAAAUGCACAUCAAUGGAAUCUAUAGUUCUUCAACUCCAUGAAAUCUCAGCUAUCAAAUUUGGCAAUUUCAAGCUCAAGUCUGGCAUCUCCUCUCCAAUCUACAUAGAUCUUCGCCUUGCUAUAUCUUAUCCUUCUGUCCUCCGGAAUAUUUCUCAAACCCUUAUUUCUUCUGUCUCUUCCACUUCAUUUGACCUUGCCUGUGGUGUCCCCUACACUGCUCUGCCCAUUGCCACUUGUGUCUCUGUUACUCAGAACAUCCCCAUGGUCAUGCGCGGCAAGGAUGCAUGAUGUUAUGGUGGAGCAUCAGUGAAUAUAUUCAUGAAGGUAAUUGAAUGCUAGGUUUGACAGUAGGACAACAUGCAUGUUUCAUUUUAUAGCAGUGAAAUUAUAUGAAUGUGGGAGAGUAUACCCUAGCAUACCAAGUGGUUUGGCAAUUGAAAUGGCUUAUUUUGUUUUUGGUUUUAAAUGUACCCUUUUACAUCAAUAUGGAUAAUAGAAUAUGUAUAAACUUUCUUUGGU